UACGGAGGGUGCUAGCGUUGUUCGGAAUUACUGGGCGUAAAGAGCGCGCAGGCGGUCGAUCAAGUCGAGUGUGAAAGCCCCCGGCUCAACUGGGGAGGGUCAUUCGAUACUGAUCGACUCGAAGGCAGGAGAGGGUAGUGGAAUUCCCGGUGUAGUGGUGAAAUGCGUAGAUAUCGGGAGGAACACCAGUGGCGAAGGCGACUACCUGGCCUGUUCUUGACGCUGAGGCGCGAAAGCUAGGGGAGCAAACGGG
rnacentral:rRNA from 1 species